rnacentral:lncRNA from 1 species
UCACAAUCAUCACAUAUGUUGGUACUAUCGAUUCUAAGCAAAAGGAGAACGUGGGUAUGUCUCUUCAUCCUGGUAUACGCCGCCCUUCUCUUCUUCUCAUGGAACCUCCUCAAGACCAUCCUCUCCUGGUAUAAUAACUCCAUGUCUUCUUCAUCUCCUCCGUCGUCGUUUGGGUGGCCGGCCCUGUACGCAUCAGUCCUGCUUGGGGUUGUCUUUGGCCUUCUUUCUAUGGUGGCCGCCCUGGCCGUGGCUGUGCCGGCCACUCUAGUCACCUGGAUCACGGUUCUGGUUCUUCUGACCUUCUGUGGGAAGCCAAGGAGGACUCUGGUGGUUGAGGGCAGGAUGAUCACUGCUGAGAUUACAGGGUUUGUGCUCAAGAUCUUGUUGAAGGAAGGGA